rnacentral:rRNA from 1 species
GACGAACGCUGGCGGCGUGCUUAACACAUGCAAGUCGAGCGGUAAGGCCCUUUCGGGGGUACACGAGCGGCGAACGGGUGAGUAACACGUGGGUGACCUGCCUUUAGCUCUGGGAUAAGCCUGGGAAACUGGGUCUAAUACCGGAUAUGACUCCGCGGUGCAUGCUGUGGGGUGGAAAGCCUUGUGCGGCUGGAGAUGGGCCCGCGGCCUAUCAGCUUGUUGGUGGGGUGAGGCCUACCAAGGCGACGACGGGUAGCCGGCCUGAGAGGGCGACCGGCCACACUGGGACUGAGACACGGCCCAGACUCCUACGGGAGGCAGCAGUGGGGAAUCUUGCGCAAUGGGCGAAAGCCUGACGCAGCGACGCCGCGUGAGGGAUGACGGCC